rnacentral:misc_RNA from 1 species
UUUUUUUUUUUUUUUUAGCAAUUUGCGAAAAGAAAAUGAUUUGCUUGUUGAUACUGAACUAUGAAAUCCUAAGUUCAAAUAUUAGAGACUAUUAUAUCAUUUUUUUUUUUGUAUUUAGCAAAUUCUAUUCGUUUAUUCGACUCAAGAAAAUAAAAAAAAUCAACACUAAUCCACAAAACUAAGCUCUUAUAUUCGACAAUGUUCAUCCUUUUUUAUUCUAUAAAUCUACUGUGUUACUAGCACAAGCCAACAUACCAAUAAAGGAAAAGCUAGCAAUAUUUCCCUAAUACUGUUAACACAUACUCUAUUCUCACAAAAAUUUGCUUUCCUAUAAAUAUGCGGAAUUUUCACAAUCAAAUCUCAAUUUAUGGACUCUUUCUAGCAUUUUAGUAUUUAAUCAUUUGAAUUACUGCUCUUAUAAUAUAUAUGUAUAUUGAGAAUCCCAGUUUUUAUUUAUAAAAUUAUAAUUUAUAAAUUUUAUAAAAUUAAUCUAAAAAUUGUAUUUACCAAACAUUUUAAAUUAAUAGUUAAAAAUCUAAAUAUGAAUUUCGACUACUCAAUCAAGGAGAUUAUGUAAUUUUGGUAAAUUAUUAUUUGUCUUCUGAGAUUAUGUCAUUCAUUAUCAC